rnacentral:rRNA from 1 species
GACGAACGCUGGCGGCGCGCCUAACACAUGCAAGUCGAACGGGCUUAUACGCUGAGAAGUCUUCGGACGGAUCUUGUAUAAGCUAGUGGCGAACGGGUGAGUAACACGUGAGCAACCUGCCCUUCAGAGGGGGAUAACGUUUGGAAACGAACGCUAAUACCGCAUAACAUCCGAACCCGGCAUCGGGAACGGAUCAAAGGAGAAAUCCGCUGAGGGAUGGGCUCGCGUCCGAUUAGAUAGUUGGUGAGGUAAUGGCUCACCAAGUCGACGAUCGGUAGCCGGACUGAGAGGUUGAUCGGCCACAUUGGGACUGAGACACGGCCCAGACUCCUACGGGAGGCAGCAGUGGGGGAUAUUGCACAAUGGGCGAAAGCCUGAUGCAGCGACGCCGCGUGAGGGAAGAAGGUUUUCGGAUUGUAAACCUCUGUCGACAGGGAAGAGUAGAAGACGGUACCUGUUGAGGAAGCCACGGCUAACUACGUGCCAGCCGCCGCGGUAAGACCUGAGAC